rnacentral:tRNA from 1 species
GUUAUUUUGGCAGAAUAGUGCGUUAGAUUUAGAAUCUACUUAAGUAAAUUUGAAUUUACAUAUAAUAC